CCAGACUCCUACGGGAGGCAGCAGUGGGGAAUAUUGGGCAAUGGGCGCAAGCCUGACCCAGCAACGCCGCGUGAAGGAAGAAGGCUUUCGGGUUGUAAACUUCUUUUAAGAGGGAAGAGUAGAAGACGGUACCUCUUGAAUAAGCCACGGCUAACUACGUGCCAGCAGCCGCGGUAAUACGUAGGGGGCAAGCGUUAUCCGGAUUUACUGGGUGUAAAGGGGGCGCAGACGGCGAUGCAAGCCAGGAGUGAAAGCCCGGGGCCCAACCCCGGGACUGCUCUUGGAACUGCGUGGCUGGAGUGCAGGAGGGGCAGGCGGAAUUCCUGGUGUAGCGGUGAAAUGCGUAGAUAUCAGGAGGAACACCGGUGGCGAAGGCGGCUUACUGGACAGUAACUGACGUUGAGGCUCGAAAGCGUGGGGAGCAAACAGGAUUAGAUACCCUCGUACU
rnacentral:rRNA from 1 species